ACGCCGGUGGUGAAACGGUUAUCAUCCUUGCCUUCCAUCCCAUGACAUGUGAUUAGAGUGAGCAAGGGGCGGGGGUUCGACUCCCUCCCGGCGUA